ensembl:snRNA U6 U6 spliceosomal RNA
AUACUCAAUUCAGCAACAUAUUCACUAAAACUGGAAUAAUACAGAGAAUAUUAGCAUGGCCCCUCAGCAGGGAUGAACAGCAAAUUUGUAAAGAUUUCCACACUUUU